ensembl:lncRNA
GGUGGACUUGGUGGACAUGGGCGCUCACACUAGAAGCAAUUUGCCUAUUGGCUGCUUUUUAGUUGACGGGUGAUCACUGGUGGACAUUCCAGGCUUUGGUUGCUUGUCCUUCAUUCUUAUUGAGGCGACAGAAACGAUACCUAAUGCCAAGUCACCUCCUAAAAAAGCCAACGCUGCACAUACCAUUCAGGAGGUGAUGGAUGUGGAGGGAGUACAUCUAGAAGAAGGAACAGCGGAGACAUCCCAGGGUGAGGACUCUGAGUUGAGUCUGAGUUUUCAGGGCUAUGUCGCCGAGCUGCGACAGUGCCAGAGCAAAAUGAGAAACGCCCAGAUGCCCCAGAACGGCCGCAACCCACCGGAGGGCCAGGACUGCAACACAGAUCUUUACAAGGCCACCAUCGUCUAAAGGGACCCCCCCCCCCCCCCAUCCCCACUGCUGCACUUUUAAAGCCUGAGCGACUGUUGUUUGAGGAGAUGUAGUCGAACAAUGUGCUGCAUGUACAAGUUGUCAGUUUUCUUUACUAAAGCAUCAAUAUUAUGGUGAUGGAUAUUGUAUAUUUGUUUAAAAACAGUUCAGGCAUCCUGUUGACUUCUAGUACCGGUUGUAAUUUUGGGACAGUGAUAUGUUUUGUUAUUGGUAUGCUUUGAUAAUUAACUAUUUUGAGCCAUGUUAGGCUAAAUAAUAAUACCACAGAAGAAGCCUGAAACUCACUUUGGGGUACCAGUUGAUAAUAAUUGUACACAAUUUAAAAAGUGGAAAUGACUGAGAAACAGGACACUGCUUGAUAAGAAGCUGCUUAACAUCUUCUAAACAAAAAAACAAUGUAAUAACCGGCAGCCUUCUGGUGGUGGAAACCAAAAGGUUAAAGCUCAGGAAAACGCUUGUUCAGGUUCUUGAUAACAAUUUCGAAACCAUCACCAAAUGAUUUAAUAAGCUGUUAAGCUGUUUGGGUAUAUUGAGUUUUACAUUAAAGUCCCAAUUAACUGUCCACCCAUUACCUUUUUCUGCUAGUCUUGCGCUGAGAAAAGUUGUGAGAUGCAAUUGAAAUAGCAAUGAUAAUUUAAAAAUCUAGAAAGUAAAGCUUGACUUUUGUUUUACGUGUCCUGAUUAGAAAGUAGGACCACAUGCUAGGAGAGGACUCUUAGAUAUUUGACUAUUUCUUGUUCAUAUUGUCUUCCUGUGUUGUACAGAUGACACAUAACAGUACCUCUAUCGUCUGUACUUUCUGCUUCUGUGGUUGUGAGGUUGUCCUAAUUGUUGAACAAUUAAAAGGCUUCGAUGGCUC